rnacentral:lncRNA from 10 species
AAGGAGUCUGAGAAGAUGACUUACUGAAAUCAAGAGCUUGGAUGCCCUUCUCCUUCUGCCCUUGGAUGUCAGAAUUCCAGUUCCUCUGGCUUUUGGACUGUAGGACUCACACCAGCAUUCCCUGUCCCUACCACCUCCACCACCCACCAGCUUUCAGGCCUUUGGCCUGAGACUGAGAGUUACACCAUCGGCUUCCUUGGUUCUGAGGCCUUCAUAUCCGGACUGAACCAUGCAACUGCCUUUCCUGGUUCUCCAGCUUGCAGUCGGCCUGUUGUGACACCUCUCAGCCUUCCUUACAAAGUGAGCCAAUUCCCUUAAUU